CCCCGCGCCCGGCCCGCCGCCCCCGCCCCCCUACGGGAGGCAGCAGUGGGGAAUUUUGGACAAUGGGCGCAAGCCUGAUCCAGCCAUGCCGCGUGAGUGAAGAAGGCCUUCGGGUUGUAAAGCUCUUUUGGCGGGGACGAAACGGUCCGUGCUAAUACCACGGACUAAUGACGGUACCCGCAGAAGAAGCACCGGCUAACUACGUGCCAGCAGCCGCGGUAAUACGUAGGGUGCAGGCGUUUAUCGGAAUUACUGGGCGUAAAGCGUGCGUAGGCGGUUUGUUAAGACAGGUGUGAAAUCCCCGGGCUUAACCUGGGAACUGCGCUUGUUACUGGCAGACUUGAGUGUGGCAGAGGGGGGUGGAAUUCCAGGUGUAGCAGUGAAAUGCGUAGAUAUCUGGAGGAACACCGAUGGCGAAGGCAGCCCCCUGGGCUAACACUGACGCUGAUGCACGAAAGCGUGGGGAGCAAACAGGAUUAGAUACCCUGGUAGUCCACGCCCUAAACUAUGUCAACUGGUUGUCGGGGAAGA
rnacentral:rRNA from 1 species